UACGUAGGGUGCAAGCGUUGUCCGGAAUUAUUGGGCGUAAAGAGCUUGUAGGCGGUUUGUCGCGUCUGCUGUGAAAUUUCGGGGCUCAACCCCGAACUUGCAGUGGGUACGGGCAGGCUUGAGUUCGGUAGGGGAGACUGGAAUUCCUGGUGUAGCGGUGAAGUGCGCAGAUAUCAGGAGGAACACCGGUGGCGAAGGCGGGUCUCUGGGCCGAUACUGACGCUGAGGAGCGAAAGCGUGGGGAGCAAACAGG
rnacentral:rRNA from 1 species